rnacentral:rRNA from 1 species
GAUGAACGCUGGCGGCGUGCCUAAUACAUGCAAGUCGAGCGAACAGACGAGGUGCUUGCUCCUCUGACGUUAACGGCGGACGGGUGAGUAACACGUGGAUAACCUACCUAUAAGACUGGGAUAACUUCGGGAAACCGGUGCUAAUACCGGAUAAUAUAUUGAACCGCAUGGUUCAAUAGUGAAAGACGGUUUUGCUGUCACCUAUAGAUGGAUCCGCGUCUCAUUAGCUAGUUGGUAAGGUAACGGUGUACCAAGGCAACGAUGCGUAGCCGACCUGAGAGGGGGAUCGGCCACACUGGAGCUGAGACACGAUCCAGACUCCUACGGGAGGCAGCAGUAGGGAAUCUUCCGAAAUGGGGGAAAGCCUGACGAAGCAACGCCGCGUGGUUGAUGAAGGUCUUCGGAUCGUAAAACUCUGUUAUUGGGGAAGAACAAAUGGAUAAGUAACUAUGCACGUCGUGACGGUACCUAAUCAGAAAGCCACGGCUAACUACGUG